UCAUUAUUCUGUCCACAACUUUCACUCCACUAAACAAAUAAAUACACAUUAUACAUACAUAUAGAGAGAGAAGAGUUCUAAAUUUCUUGUGUUAGCAAAUCUUGUUAAGAGAUGAGUGAACCACCAAAAUAUGCUUACCCCUAUCCUGCCCAAGGAUACUACCAGGGGCCGCCGGUGGUGGCGCCGCCACAGUAUGCGUCACCGCCACCGAAGAGGGGGCCCGGAUUCUUGGAAGGGUGCUAAAAUCACGAACGGUGGCGUAAUUUUGCUGCUGCUUAAUGGGUGAAUGCUGCGACUUGCUAUGGCUCUUCUAAGGACUUCACUCAUUUUGUUUAAAUCUGCCUUUAAAAAAUUAUGUACAAUAUUUUCGUCAUAAUUAGAAGAAGAAAAAAAAGGAAGUUAUGUACUGAUAUUAAUAUAAUUAAAUAAUGCUACAUUUAUGGAUAUUUUUUA